rnacentral:rRNA from 1 species
UCUUGGUCCAUUAGAGGAAGUAAAAGUCGUAACAAGGUUUCCGUAGGUGAACCUGCGGAAGGAUCAUUACAGAAAGUAAACGCGGAUCAAACCGCGAACUUCUAAACCUUUGACGAUCGACUCAUGUUGCCUCGGCGGGUGCUCCCGCCAGAGGAUACAUCAAAACUCAUGUUUUAACGGUGUUGUCUGAGCUACAAGCAACGAAUCAAAACUUUCAACAACGGAUCUCUUGGUUCUGGCAUCGAUGAAGAACGCAGCGAAAUGCGAUAAGUAGUGUGAAUUGCAGAAUUCAGUGAAUCAUCGAAUCUUUGAACGCACAUUGCGCCCCUUGGUAUCCCGAGGGGCAUGCCUGUUCGAGCGUCAUUUCACCACUCAAGCCUGGCUUGGUGUUGGGCGACGUCCCCUUUGGGGACGCGCUUCGAAACGCUCGGCGGCGUGGCAUCGGCUUUAAGCGUAGCAGAAUCUUUCGCUUUGAAAGUCGGGGCCCCGUCUGCCGGAAGACCUACUCGCAAGGUUGACCUCGGAUCAGGUAGGGAUACCCGCUGAACUUAAGCAUAUCA